UACGUAGGGCGCAAGCGUUGUCCGGAAUUAUUGGGCGUAAAGAGCUCGUAGGCGGUCUGUCGCGUCUGCCGUGAAAAUCCGAGGCUUAACCUCGUGGCUUGCGGUGGAUACGGGCAGACUAGAGGUAGGUAGGGGAGAAUGGAAUUCCCGGUGUAGCGGUGAAAUGCGCAGAUAUCGGGAGGAACACCGGUGGCGAAGGCGGUUCUCUGGGCCUUACCUGACGCUGAGGAGCGAAAGCGUGGGGAGCGAACAGG
rnacentral:rRNA from 1 species